GACUCUGAUGAUGAUCAGAUUGAAAACUUUCGUUCUUCUGAGAGAAUAUAUGCGGAAAGUUUUUGGAGACCUGAACUGAAGAGAA